AUGAUAAUUGGGGACUUUAACGAAAUCUUAUACUCGCCAGAGAAGGGAGGGGGCGCUCCCCGCCAACAGUCUCAUUUACAGGCGUUUCAAGAUGCUUUGUCUGACUGCAUGUUAGAGGAUGUUGGCUUCGUAGGGGACAAAUUCACUUGGUUCAGGGGUGGGAUGCGAGAGAGGCUAGAUCGAGCGGUCUCCAAUGCAGCUUGGCUGCUAUUGCACCCAUCUGCAGGGCUCAGCAACUUGGAGCUAGGCAAAUCAGAUCACCGUCCGUUGCUGAUGGAUACGGAGUAUCUGUCUAGGGUUGCGGAUAAUAACCCGAAGAAAGAACGCAAGUUUGAAAUGAGGUGGCUGGAGGAAGAAACAGUUAAUGAGAUUGUGAACACUGCAUGGCAGAAGGCCAUUCACCAAGGUUUAUGCCCUGCGAUUUCUGACAAGCUUAGGGUUAUACACCAGGAUUUACAUGAGUGGGACCGUAAGAUAUUACGGAAGCCAUAG
rnacentral:rRNA from 1 species